rnacentral:rRNA from 1 species
GGAUCCAAGCGUUAUCCGGAAUCAUUGGGUUAAAGGGUCCGUAGGUUGAUAAUUAAGUCAGAGGUGAAAUCUUGCAGCUCAACUGUAAAAUUGCCUUUGAUACUGGUUAUCUUGAGUUAUUAUGAAGUAGUUAGAAUAUGUAGUGUAGCGGUGAAAUGCAUAGAUAUUACAUAGAAUACCAAUUGCGAAGGCAGAUUACUAAUAAUCAACUGACACUGAUGGACGAAAGCGUGGGUAGCGAACAGGAUUAGAUACCCUGGUAGUCCACGCCGUAAACGAUGGUUACUAGCUGUUUGGACCUUGUGUCUGAGUGGCUAAGCGAAAGUGAUAAGUAACCCACCUGGGGAGUACGUUCGCAAGAAUGAAACUCAAAGGAAUUGACGGGGGCCCGCACAAGCGGUGGAGCAUGUGGUUUAAUUCGAUGAUACGCGAGGAACCUUACCAGGGCUUAAAUGUAAGUUGCAUUAGUUAGAGAUAACUAUUUCUUCGGACCACUUACAAGGUGCUGCAUGGUU